CCUUAAGACCUGUGCAAUGGUCUUUCAGGACAAUGCGUCAGGGUGGGAACACAGCAGCGCACCCUGAUCGAUCAUGUGCCGCAGGAGCCUUGAGGGGG
rnacentral:SRP_RNA from 1 species